UACCAGCACCCCGAGUGGUCGGGACGUUUAUUGGGCCUAAAGCAUCCGUAGCCGGUUCUACAAGUCUUCCGUUAAAUCCAGCCGCUCAACGGUUGGGCUGCGGAGGAUACUACGUGGCUAGGAGGCGGGAGAGGCAAGCGGUACUCAGUGGGUAGGGGUAAAAUCCUUUGAUCCAUUGAAGACCACCAGUGGCGAAGGCGGCUUGCCAGAACGCGCUCGACGGUGAGGGAUGAAAGCUGGGGGAGCAAACCGG
rnacentral:rRNA from 1 species